AAAACCGUCUCAUUGCCGUACAGUGGCCGCGUCGACGAAGAUGAACCGGCAGAUCCGCUUUCCGUUCGUUGCCUUGUUGUUCGUUUUUGAUCGCGAGUGGCUGUUUGGCACCCACGGAACAAACCAAGGAUCGAGACCGUCCUUAUAGUUCAUAAUUUUCGCACAUUAUUGAAUUACUGGAUCGCUCGUGUGCCGAAGGAAACGCAUAUGUCGACUCUGUUUCCGUAGAACUCUUCCGGUGUGCAGAAAAACGUAAUCUUCGAACGGCCAAUCGUAGAGUAGAAUUUAGAGAACAUUUCUGCCGGCUUCGCAAAGAUUGCAGUUUCCAACAAGAAUUUGGCGAAAGAUUCGCCGUCGACCAGCGAGGAUGCAAUAAAAAACGGGUUCUCCGUUUAAGAGGGGAUCCUCGAGAAGAUCAGAGUUCGUGUUCGUUUGCCGCCUAACGGAAAGAUGAAGCGCGCGGUGUUUUCUAUAACAACUGUUCUCAUUCUUCUGGCGGUUUGUUCGACGUCGUUGUGCGUCGAGCAACAUAUACUCGACAUAAUCCGACCACCUCUUCGCCCUUGUCCACCAGGACAGAAACAAAUUUCUCCGAACGAGUGUCGACCGAUUCUACAUAUUCCUUUUAAUGACAAGGGAAGAAGGACCUGACCGGAACUUUCCGAGGAUAGCCUAGGGAAAAUAAUCGCCAAAUGUCAUUUUUUAUCGAUCAUUUAAACAAUUCCAAAUGGACCGUUCGUUUCAUUCGAAAUUGCAUCGUAGAAAUAAGAGUAUGCGUAAACACAUUUUUGAAUACUAAAACGCCAAGAAAAUAGCCCCGACUAUUUUCUCUGAUUUUUUAGUCGGCCCGCGAGGCUUUUCUAAUCAGUUUAUUAUAAUCAUGCGAUCGAAGCUGCAUCGUGCGAAUAAAAGAUGCGAACAUUUCUUGGAACUGAAAAAUAUUUGUGCAAAGGAAAAAUCGGCUACCGAGAAGAAGUCUGCUUUAAAUAUUGUUCUUCGAUUCUCCGAGGACAAUUUCAACGCUGUCCCGAGAAACACUGCUGCAGCAACGCGAUCGAAAUUGCAUCAUGCAAAUAAAGGAGACGCAUAAUAAGCGCAUUGUACGAAAGCGAAGCACGCCAUUCGGCGAAAAUCGAGCGUUGAAAUCGAAAAGUGGCGGAAUAGUAUAAACAAAAGCCGAUCCGAUAUCGGAAUAGUUUAGUCCGAACUAAUUAAAGCCAGUGUAUUCUGUCGUCCUAUUAACACAGCGAAGCUCCGGUAAUUUAACUUUGUUCCUUUACCAGCACGAAACAAAGUUCGAUUAAAUUUCAUAUUACGGAUCUCUUUAAUAAGGAUUAAAACCUGCUGAAAAUCGCGAGGGCCGGGGCAUUCGUUUGUUUUAAUUGGACAUCGUUCCAUGAAAGUGUAAUUAGCGAUUAAGACAGGCGAUUUUUCAUACUCCGUGCCGCGCGGCCCGAAUUCAAAUAUUUUAAGACAGCGACGACGUUCGAAUCGGAAUGCUUCGGGACAGGAAGUCGGAUUUCCACAAUUUUUUAAUUGGACCGACUGCGCUAAUUAUUCUUAUCAUUCUCAUGCGGAACAAUUCCGCGGACUCAUUCAAAUACGAUAACAUUAUCUUCGGUAACAAUAUAGACAUUUCUUAAUUCGAGGAUCCGAUCGGAGAGCGUCGAACAUACGAUGUACCAGGGAAUUUGUAAAAAUUAUGCUACCACGCGUUGGCGCGAAUAAUUAAAUCGUUUUAACUUUCUGCUAAUAAAUUCUUUCAAACUGUUUACAUUUUUUCGAUCGAUACUGCACAUCGAAAGCGUAAAUACCGAAAAGUACCAUUUUAAAUCGUAGACGAUGAAUAAAUAUUUAAUUUCA